UACAGAGGUCUCAAGCGUUGUUCGGAUUCAUUGGGCGUAAAGGGUGCGUAGGCGGCGCGGUAAGUCGGGUGUGAAAUCUUGGAGCUUAACUCCGAAACUGCAUUCGAUACUGCCGUGCUUGAGGACUGGAGAGGAGACUUGGAAUUUACGGUGUAGCGUGAAAUGCGUAGAUAUCGUGAGGAAGACCAGUGGCGAAGGCGGAUCUCUGGACAGUUCCUGACGCUGAGGUGCGAAAGCGUGGGGAGCAAACAGG
rnacentral:rRNA from 1 species